CUUUAGAAUUACUUCUGGAAAGUACUGCCAGCCUUCCUGGGCUCCCACGCCCUCCAAAAGUACUUCCCAAGGGACCCUCUCAACCAUGGUCCUAAAGAGGUUCAAGUUUGCUCUCCGGCAGUCCAAGGUGGCAGUUCUGCUGACUCCCCUCCGUGGUUCAACAAGGAUUGAGAAAUCUAGCAUCUCACGAUCCCUUUGCCCCAGGCGGCCUCCAGCCUUGACAUCCCCCACGAGACCUUCUCUGUUAACAAACAGCAGGAUUUUGCUUGCCCUUGCUGGCUGCCUCACCAGCUGUGUCAGGAAGUGAUCUCCCACACACUCGAGGAACCUCUGGGACUGUUCCCUAUCUGCUGUAUUAUAAAUCCAGCAGAUGUCUGGGACUUUGCAAUAGCCCACAAGAACAAGGGGAGAGACCUUGAGACCUCCUGCGGCUGUGUCUAAAGUGUCUUGCCCACCUCUUCAUCCUGGUUGGGUGGCCUGUAGCACACUCCCACGAUAAGGUCAGUCUUACUGGCCUUUGCUUUUCUUCUGACCUAGAAGCUCUCAACCCUAUCAUGGCCAUCGUUCAUUUGCAUACAUUCCCAUUCUUUCUUAACGUAGAGGGCUGCACCACUGCCUUUCCUGCCUUGCCUCUCUCUUUUGCAAAGUCGCUAGCCAUCCAUCACAGCACUCCAGCUGUGCAUUGUGAUCAACUUAAAAAAGGAACGCAUGAAGAAUAGCUUUGUUUGCAUUCUGGUAACUGCUGAGGCUUUGGCUGAGGACAGCUUUCAGCUGCACCUGAACUAGGCUGGAUUUGUCUCCUGCUCUCCAUAGGUGAGUAUUUCUCUUGCAGACCUUUGAAUCAAUGAUUCCCCUGCUAUUUGUCUCUUCUGGUUGCUGGAGAGAAGAGCUCCAAUGUCACAUCCUGAUCCGUAAGGUGAUCAAGCUUGGUGAUUGUCAGUAAUUCAGGAUAUGCUUGCUUUUCUUGAAGUGAACUAAGGGAUAAGCUAUCAUGCUGUGCCAUUUCUUUUCCUGUGCGUAAUGCCAAGGGAUAGGGCUGCAGGUGCCUGCUGGUUCACGGGACAUGCCAGAGCUUUGUACACAGCUUAAGUGAUGGAAGAGGAAAGACUCCAGUAUGGUAACAACGUGAUUUCUAGUGUUUUGGCAGAGAAGUGCCUCCAGGCAGUUUGGAGAACUGCUGGCUCAGGCUUCACCUCCACUAGUCCAAGUUCAGUCACUUUCCUCUGCAGAACCUGCAUCAAGCCGUGGUUUUAAGCUGCAGAUGGAGUUCUUCUCGCAGGACUGAAGUGCUGAAGCUCUCUGAGCUCCGAAGGCACCCUGAACUCAUAAUGAGCUCCAUGGCAUUGCAAAGAAUGCACCAAAGGUUCCCGUAUUUCUAGCGGUUGGCAGGGAGGUGACUCAUGCCAUCGUAAGGCCGUGGCGAUGUGACGGUAAGAAUGUCCCAUGUCAAGUAAAAGAUGGCUGUGUGGGACGAGGGGAAGCCAUGGCCUGACAGCUGCCCUUCUGGUCAGCAGUGGGAUUCUGCGGGGUCCCUUAGAAGGCCAUUUCUCUGUAAUGCUUUCUCUGUUGGUUCCAGUCAAGAUGUGGCCGUUGUAUGAAGUAAGUUUGUGGUUGCUGUGAAGCUGGGAGGAAUGUUGACUGCCUUGGGGGUUGAGAGGCCUUGCAGCAAGAUGUGGAGAAAUGUGAGGGCGGUCCCCAUCUGCAUGAAGAAGAGCAAGCGCUGCGUUCUGCACCUGGGAUGCGGCAGCCCUGGCUAAUGUCUGCGUGUGGAUGAAUCGCAACAGGAUCCUGGGAAUUUUUAAGAAAGGUAGGAAGGAGGACCCGGGGAACUACAGGCCGGUGAGCCUCACCUCUGUGCCUGGGAAGAUCAUGGAGCAGAUCCUCCUACAAGAGGAAGAAACUUACAGGAGAAAAAAACUACAGGUGAGCCUAACGUAUUAAUUAACUGAGAACAAAACGUUAGGAAGGACAAGACUGUGCUUGAGUUUUCCCAGUAAUGAGUGCCUGAAUUCCAGAGUGGGUUUCUGAAUCUUUGUUUCAUCCUACGGGUCCUAUGAAGGACUGUGCCUUCAUUGUAAUCUGCAUCAGAAAUGCCUCCUUUCUCAGGGCAAAUCCAGCCAUUGGAUUAAGGGCAAAAAUAAUGUGCAGAGUAGGACUUCUAUAGUACUCAUAUUAUAAACUCUAAAGACAGACUAUAAUACUCUAUAUUACAGGGACUCUAAAAACAGACUGCUUCAACACACUUGAAAUCAGCACACCGUUGAAUCUGAUGCAAAGAGAUGCACGUUUGGUUGUUUUGUUUUGUUUGUUUUUAAAUCUCUUUGAACAGCCAGAUCAAGUAGCUGAGAAGCCUCGUUCCAGCUUUUCUGUAAAACUUGAGUCAUGAGGAGUGCUUUCUCUAACAGUGGUAGUGUUGGGACACACGCCUCUCUUUUUGCCACAGACUGAGCAUUGUUCUCUCUCCUUCUUCAUAUCUUGCAGGAAAGAUUGUUCACGUGUAAUGAAAAGCUAGUGUCCAGAAGAUCACUGCGGCCAGAUGCCAAUUUUGAUGCCCUCGUCAGUAAGACUUGUCCAAGCCCUGAUGUAUGUGAAGCUCAUCAGGAGGGAAUGCUAGCAAGAAUCAGCUAACACAAUAGCAGCAAGCUUUCAGUGACAGCGUUCAGGAAGGGUGGCGAUUCAGGCUGGGAGCAGGUAUGGCAUCCCCUGACUUGACCACGUGUAACUUGAUGCUAGAAGUACACCACGUCCUCCCUCCCUGCAUGGCAAGAGAUGGCUCUCUUCUCCUGCAAAGGCAGCCAAAGUAACUUCUGUGUGCUGACUAGAGAGAGAAAACUUGGUGUCACUCCUUGCAAGUCCUGUGGCAGCCAGAUAUUGUGUUAGCCACUCACAGGUAGCAUGUCUUUGGUAUCAGGGUGUAAGAGAAUGAACUCUGUAGGAGCGCUGCUGUCAUAGGCCACCAAGGGCCCGGGAUGCCUGGCUGAAAUUGGAUGUUGCAGAUACCUUGGUGUCACUGGAAUCCAUGGAGCUGACACAGUCCUCUGAUGGCUGGAUUUCUGCUUGCUAAGGGUAUUCCUUCUGGUUUCUUGGCUUUUCAGGUGAUUUUUGCUUUGCUUUCCUUGGCUUUUUAGUACUUCCUCCUUCUGUUAUUGCUCCUGGCUUUGUUUUGCUUUGCUCUUUGGUUUUUCUUUUGUAUCUUUGCCUUGCAUUGCUCGAGAAUUUUCGUUUCUUCCUUCUCUUCAGUGCUAAGCAUUGGUGAGUGUUUUUCUCUUUGUACUGUGUUUGGCUUCUUUGGUUUGCCACGAUAUACACGAGUAAAGCAAAUGAAUGGAAUGCAGUAUGGUGACUUGUUUGAAUUGCUUUGUUUUCCUCGUUUGGUUGUUUUUCCCCUGUUGCUUUUCAGUAGUGCGCCUUUUGCUUUGCUUUCCAUUGUCUUUGUGUCUGGUUGGUUUUUUUUGGUUCUUUGUUCUCGUUACCUGUUCCUUUCUUUGCAUUAGCUUCUUCCUCCCAGAGGAGAGCAUUCCUUGCCUUUUCAGAGGAUGGUUCUUGGCUUUGCUUGGAGUUUCUCCCUUGCUCUUCAUUCUUGGUUGCCUUACCUGGCUUUGCCUUCCUUGUCCCCUUGCCCCGGCCUUGCUCUUCCUUUGCCUUCACUUACCUGAUGUGCUCUCUCCCUUGAUUGUUCUCUUCUGUCUGUUCCUUUCUGGCUUCUUGAACUGCAGCCUCCUCUCUGGGCUUUCCUGCCGUGCUUGAUGCAUUUGCAGCUCCUUGGAGUUUCCCAGGUGGGUCCACGCCUCCUGGGCCUCCUUGCCUCUUCCCUUGUGGUGCUCUUGUGGCUUUUUCUCCAGCUGGCUGGAUCCAUGCGGGCCUAUUGCCCCAUUUUCUCGGCAUUGGUGUAUGUGGAUUGUUCUCUGUCAUCUUCCCAGGCCUAGAUGCUGAGCUUUUGCCUCUUCCAGGCUCUGUUGUCAUCUUUGCUUUUCCGUGAGAGUGUAUUCUGUUCUGUUAUUGUUGGUUGCUUGUUUUUGAAUGUGGUGUUUGUUGUUGUUUCAUUUAUUGUUAUUGGCUUUCUUUGAUGUGCGUGGGGUUUUUUGUUCUUUUUUUCAGUUUGGUGCUUUUUUUUUCUUUGCUGUUCCUUUCUUUGCACUGUAUUUUUUUCCUAGCAGCGUUUCUAUUCCUUUCUCUUCUACUAGAAAUUGUAGCUCCUAACACUAAUCCAAGUGUAUAAACCAAAAGUCUGAACUCUAAAUCACACAGGUGUAUGGGAACUGUAUAAUCACAGCCUGACCCUCUGUUUGACCACCUGAGGCGAGUGCUGAGUCAGCUGCAGGGGCACAGGUGAUGGCAGUUUCAGCUGAGUGACCGGAAGGGGUGGACCCUGGCUGCAGCCCUGCUAGACCCCAUGUAAGGGCUGACUCCCAAGGAGGAAGGAUCUCUACCUGGAGGUCACCCUUAGUGGAGCCCUUCUGCGCGCCCAGGGUACGGGUAAGCUUUUUAUGUCAUUCCUCCUUUGGAAACGCGCUCAUCUCUCUGCUCCUUUACCUGUUUGCCUUACAAUCUGUUUGCCAUACACACAGGUAAUGUUUAACCCUCCUAAUGGGUAGCCCUGAAGCCUUUUCUGUAAAUGCAACAGGGAUGGCGUUAGCCCUCAUCAAGUAAGGGCCACCCUUAGUCCUAACAGCAAAGGGUAGCCCUGAAGGAUUCCCUUUUUGGUUAUGGUUAACUCUAAUCCAAUGUGGUAACCGUUCACCUGUCACUGAAGGGAAGCCCUUCAUCCUAACCUACUAUGGUAACUCUUCAUCCUAAACGCUAGCCUCUAACAGUAACCUUUAAGCCAAUCCUUAGGGGUUUUCCUGAAGCCUUUGCACUGACUGAACUUGGUAGCAUUUCCACGUGAAGCCUUAUCUAAUGCAGUAACCCGCCAAUCUGAUGCCAAAGGGUAACGGUCCGCAGUUAGUAGUAAGACUAAAUAGUAGCACUUAACCGUAAUCCAGCAGGGGAUGAGGCCGAGCUUGUCUUCUGCCAGGGCUGCUCUCAGCCCCAGGGCACGGCGAGCGGCUGCGGGCAGUGCAUCUCCCAGCUGAGGUGCCUGUAGACAUCUGCCAGCUGUCCUUGUGGACGGCCCGUCAUCGUCAUGGAAACUGAUUGUAACAGCACAAAGGUUCCAGGAGCGUGGGUGAUGUCAGCUGUGACAUCCUCUGGGGGGCCUGGAGCCGCCCUUUUUUGGCCUUGCAGCCCAUCAAGCCAAAGCCUGCUGUCCUGCACGUGGUCCCACCGGGCAGAAACUCUUGGGACGGAGGUAGGUUCAGGGGAGGGGACAGAUGCCUGAGGGCAUUCUUUGAUUCCAUCCCGAGAGUUGUCUUUGUCUUUGUUCUUUCCAUGUCGUGUGGUUUUCCUUUGCUUUUCCUUUUGCUAUUUAACUUCUUUUCUUUCUUUUAUGCUUCUUUCUCUGUUGCUUUGCGUGGCAUUGCUUUGUUUGUUUGUUGGGGUUUUUUUUCCCUUCUUUUCAGGCCAAGCCCCAGGGGCUGCUAGGGCAAUGUCCUCACUUGGAGGGGGAGGCUGGGUUUCCCAUCUGAGGGCUUCAUGCACCAAUUGCAAGGAAAACUCAGACACAGAGCAAUGCUAAGCAAAGGCACGCCUUUUCUGAGACACUGUCUCAAGCUCCCGGAGCUCUUUUUUCCUACGAGGUAACUCCCCUGCUUUUUUCCAACUCUUAUUACAACAAGAGAGAUUUCCAUCGCUCUUACAACAGCUCGCCAAAUAAUGUUCUUACCCACAGAAGCUUUCCCUUUUCUCAGUAAGAGUCGCUCUAAUCCCGGGCUGAUUCCCUAAAACCAAGUGUAAUUUUUCUCCUUCGCAGAAACCAGUCACCAACAGAAGUUGUCCUGUUAGCCCACAUCCACCAAAAAUCCCUCAAAUACACUAUUCUUACAGCCAAACCAGACCAUUUUCUGUUCAGUUGCAGUGCACUUGCGGACCGUAUUUCUGGUCUUGUUCCUGCUGAGGUAGUGGUAAAGAAACCCCAGUCUGCCUGACAGCAAUACAUUGCUCAGAGUGAAGCUGCUGGAGCACACAAAAUGCUGUCAGGCGUCCGAGCUGAGCAACAGACUUCAUUCCUGAAUUGCACAGCUACCAGUAGAAGUGACCUCCACGCUGUUUGGCCUGUCCAAGGAGUUCACGCAGCUCUGAGUACCCCCAUUUCUACACAGAGUGGUAUCCCCCAUCGGCUAUCAGCUGCUACUGUAAGCUUUUUUUUGCUGCUUGAAGCCAGAGGGGCCAGACCCAGCUGGCCCUUAGGGACCUCCUUUGACCCAGGCCUCCAACGGAAGUGUACCACUGGUUAACCCAGAAUGGCAACUGUAGACCAAGGCUAUCACGGGCACAGUUUUCAGUUGCCCAGGGGGUGGAAGGGAUUCAGUCCAGUAAAUGAAGAUGGAACUGCUUACCCCUUUGUGAAGAAGAGGGCUCACACCAUACUAAACAAGAGCAGAAUUUGAAGCAGUGAUCCUUCCCUUGGGGCAGCCAGCCCUGAAAUGAGGUGAGGGAGGGGUGGAACCAGGCUGCCCCCCUUUGUCAUCCAGGUGAAUUGCUUCCCUCUUUUUGCUCCUGAGCAGAACAAGAUUUGAUGAGGAGGAAAGCCUGUGAAGUCCAACAAGACUGCUUUCAUACUUCCUUCCCGUUUGUGUUAGCUGGCUGUCACGGAGUGAUCUAGAUCAGUGUAUGCCUGUGGCGGGGCAGUGGGCCUGUUUUCCUGUGUUUGGCUUCCUUGCUUUGCCAUGAUGCUGUCUUGAGUUCAUGUGCUGGACUCUUGUAUUUCGUGUCUUUGUUUUGCUUUGCUCUGUUUUCCUUGUUGUUUGCCGUUCUUUUGUCAGUCUUGCUUUAUUGCUGCUCCUGUGUUGCAAUACCUUGGUUUUGUUCAGAUGUGGUGAUUGAUACUUUUCCCUUUCCCAUUCUUGGAACUCUUUUCUCCCUCCUUCAGGGUGUUCCUCUUUGUUUCUCGGCUUUUCAGGUGAUUUGGCUUUGCCUUCCUUGGCUUUUUGGAACUUGGGAAAAGGUACCGAGGUACAUGGAUAUGGAGAAGAGAAGCUCUCCUGCUGUGGCUGAGAGGUGAUCCAAAGGAGGCCUCCCGAGCAAGCACCGCAAAGGCAGCUUGCUUCUCCAGAGGCUGCAGCAUAAGCUCGUGUUCCUUGCGGAGGACUCCGUUGUGCAUCUGCAGGAGCUGCUUUGGCAUGGAGGAUUUUGUGGAGUUGCUGCCAGUCGUUGCUCGGAUGAAGUGAGGCUUUUGUCCUUGUAUCUGUGCAGGAAAGCAGUGCGGAGGGAACGUGUGUGGUGAGAUGCUGAGGAGAGAUUGCCUCCCUUGCCCCAGCAGGCUGCUUGUGUCCUGGUGAUGCACGGUGACGAGAAGGCUGCUGUUCUGAACAGCACAAGGCAACAGAGAUGUUGACAGCAGCGAUGGUGAUGGAGAUGUUGAGAGUGGAGGAGCUCUUGGCUCGCUGCAGCCACCCCAGC
ensembl:lncRNA